GAUGAACGCUGGCGGCGUGCCUAAUACAUGCAAGUCGAACGCGAGCAGCAAUGCUCGAGUGGCGAACGGGUGAGUAAUACAUAAGUAACCUGCCCUAGACAGGGGGAUAACUGCUGGAAACGGCAGCUAAGACCGCAUAGGUAUGGACACUGCAUGGUGACCAUAUUAAAAGUGCCAAGGCACUGGUAGAGGAUGGACUUAUGGCGCAUUAGCUGGUUGGUGAGGUAACGGCUCACCAAGGCGACGAUCAGUAGCCGGUCUGAGAGGAUGAACGGCCACAUUGGGACUGAGAUACGGCCCAG
rnacentral:rRNA from 1 species